GGCGACAGGGACACCUCGAGGCAUCUGAACAAUAGAGUGAAGAGAGUCAACUCCGUCAAGAGUGCUUCCUUUUACAGGAACGCCGAUUACUGGAAGAGGUGUCAUUGCAGCAACCAUACCAGGCAAAUGAGCGGCACCACCAGCACCAGCAAUAAUCACACGCAACCCUCUUGAAGCUGCGGUACGAGCAUAAGUAACCAUGCGAUCUGGUGUGCGGUGAGCUGAAACAAUAGUAAGUUCGUAAGGCACCUUGAAUUCAUCUAAAAUGACGGCAGCAUCUUUCAUCUUGCUUAAAUCAGAAUCCGAACCCAUGAUAAUACCAACAACAGGUGAUUCGACAGGAUCUUUGACGUCAAGAAGCAUCUGAUACCUACGUUCACAUUCUUGAGGUGAAUCAGAAAUGAUGGUAACGUGUCCCAUCUUGCGACCCUUUCUAGAUUCAGCUUUACCAUAAAGAUGCAAAGUUGCACCGGGAAUGGACAGAGAACGUUUAGCGAUCUUUGAAACAUAAUCAGGAUCAUCAGUACCUAAAAUAUUUACCAUCAACGCAUGAGUUGUGGAAGUCGAGAGUUGGGUGUUGAUUUCGCUGAAAGGAAGACCACAUAUGGCCCGUAAGUGAGCUUCAAACUGAGAAGUUGGGCAAGCUUCAAUGGUGUAGUGACCUGAAUUGUGAGGCCGAGGAGCAAUUUCGUUGAGUAAAAUGGUCUCACCAUCUUGCAAAACAAACAUCUCUACACCAUAUAUACCAGCGCCUUCAAAAGUGCGCACCGCAUCCAUGGCAAGGGUUUGAGCACGCUGUUGAAUUGAGAAGGGAAGACGAGCAGGGGCAUAUACUAAAUGACAAACAUUAUCCUUUUGAAUGGUCUCAGUUGUAGGAUAAGCAUAAACUUUUCCGUCUAAACUGCGUACUACCAUCACUGCAAUUUCCAUGGAGAAAGGAACGAACUUUUCAACAUAAAGCGGACGAUCACCAAGUGCUUUGAUGGCAGUAGGAAUCUCAGAUGGUUGAUGAACAACGUAAUUUCCACGACCGUCGUAAGCCAAUGUUUUACUUUUCAGUACAAAAGGAUAACCAAACUCUUGGCCUGCUUUUUCAACACUUUCCUGGUCAGGUGCAUCGCAAAAUUCAGGAAGUGCAAUCUUAAAAACCUGUAAAUGCUGUUUUUGAAGAUAUUUGUCUUGAAUGCAUCGCAGAGUUGCAGGAGAGGGUUCAACAGCAACAGAUUUCGUAACGGCUGCCAAGGCAUCAGUGUUAAUAUGCUCAAUUUCAGUUGUUAAUAACGUGCACUUCUUAGACAGUUCAACAAUUGCAUCGGGGUCAGUAAAUGAUGCAUCAAUGUGCUCACGUCCUCCAUCAAUUUGUUUGGCAGGAGAAUUUGCUGCAUCCAAGAUGAUGCAUUUGAUGUUUAAGCGAUGGGCUGCCUCUACCAUCAUUCGGCCCAAUUGACCACCUCCAAGGAUCCCUACAACCUGUUUUUCGCUCAUAUUCGAUGAAGUAUGUAUAUACCUUGGCAGCUC